rnacentral:tRNA from 1 species
AUGGCUGAGUGGACUAAAGCGUCGGAUUGCUAAUCCGUUGUGCGAGUUAUUCGUACCGAGGGUUCGAAUCCCUCU